GGGUUGUGAGGUUAAGCGACUAAGCGUACACGGUGGAUGCCCUGGCAGUCAGAGGCGAUGAAGGACGUGCUAAUCUGCGAUAAGCGUCGGUAAGGUGAUAUGAACCGUUAUAACCGGCGAUUUCCGAAUGGGGAAACCCAGUGUGUUUCGACACACUAUCAUUAACUGAAUCCAUAGGUUAAUGAGGCGAACCGGGGGAACUGAAACAUCUAAGUACCCCGAGGAAAAGAAAUCAACCGAGAUUCCCCCAGUAGCGGCGAGCGAACGGGGAGCAGCCCAGAGCCUGAAUCAGUGUGUGUGUUAGUGGAAGCGUCUGGAAAGGCGCGCGAUACAGGGUGACAGCCCCGUACACAAAAAUGCACAUGCUGUGAGCUCGAUGAGUAGGGCGGGACACGUGGUAUCCUGUCUGAAUAUGGGGGGACCAUCCUCCAAGGCUAAAUACUCCUGACUGACCGAUAGUGAACCAGUACCGUGAGGGAAAGGCGAAAAGAACCCCGGCGAGGGGAGUGAAAAAGAACCUGAAACCGUGUACGUACAAGCAGUGGGAGCACGCUUAGGCGUGUGACUGCGUACCUUUUGUAUAAUGGGUCAGCGACUUAUAUUCUGUAGCAAGGUUAACCGAAUAGGGGAGCCGAAGGGAAACCGAGUCUUAACUGGGCGUUAAGUUGCAGGGUAUAGACCCGAAACCCGGUGAUCUAGCCAUGGGCAGGUUGAAGGUUGGGUAACACUAACUGGAGGACCGAACCGACUAAUGUUGAAAAAUUAGCGGAUGACUUGUGGCUGGGGGUGAAAGGCCAAUCAAACCGGGAGAUAGCUGGUUCUCCCCGAAAGCUAUUUAGGUAGCGCCUCGUGAAUUCAUCUCCGGGGGUAGAGCACUGUUUCGGCAAGGGGGUCAUCCCGACUUACCAACCCGAUGCAAACUGCGAAUACCGGAGAAUGUUAUCACGGGAGACACACGGCGGGUGCUAACGUCCGUCGUGAAGAGGGAAACAACCCAGACCGCCAGCUAAGGUCCCAAAGUCAUGGUUAAGUGGGAAACGAUGUGGGAAGGCCCAGACAGCCAGGAUGUUGGCUUAGAAGCAGCCAUCAUUUAAAGAAAGCGUAAUAGCUCACUGGUCGAGUCGGCCUGCGCGGAAGAUGUAACGGGGCUAAACCAUGCACCGAAGCUGCGGCAGCGACGCUUAUGCGUUGUUGGGUAGGGGAGCGUUCUGUAAGCCUGCGAAGGUGUGCUGUGAGGCAUGCUGGAGGUAUCAGAAGUGCGAAUGCUGACAUAAGUAACGAUAAAGCGGGUGAAAAGCCCGCUCGCCGGAAGACCAAGGGUUCCUGUCCAACGUUAAUCGGGGCAGGGUGAGUCGACCCCUAAGGCGAGGCCGAAAGGCGUAGUCGAUGGGAAACAGGUUAAUAUUCCUGUACUUGGUGUUACUGCGAAGGGGGGACGGAGAAGGCUAUGUUGGCCGGGCGACGGUUGUCCCGGUUUAAGCGUGUAGGCUGGUUUUCCAGGCAAAUCCGGAAAAUCAAGGCUGAGGCGUGAUGACGAGGCACUACGGUGCUGAAGCAACAAAUGCCCUGCUUCCAGGAAAAGCCUCUAAGCAUCAGGUAACAUCAAAUCGUACCCCAAACCGACACAGGUGGUCAGGUAGAGAAUACCAAGGCGCUUGAGAGAACUCGGGUGAAGGAACUAGGCAAAAUGGUGCCGUAACUUCGGGAGAAGGCACGCUGAUAUGUAGGUGAAGUCCCUCGCGGAUGGAGCUGAAAUCAGUCGAAGAUACCAGCUGGCUGCAACUGUUUAUUAAAAACACAGCACUGUGCAAACACGAAAGUGGACGUAUACGGUGUGACGCCUGCCCGGUGCCGGAAGGUUAAUUGAUGGGGUUAGCCGCAAGGCGAAGCUCUUGAUCGAAGCCCCGGUAAACGGCGGCCGUAACUAUAACGGUCCUAAGGUAGCGAAAUUCCUUGUCGGGUAAGUUCCGACCUGCACGAAUGGCGUAAUGAUGGCCAGGCUGUCUCCACCCGAGACUCAGUGAAAUUGAACUCGCUGUGAAGAUGCAGUGUACCCGCGGCAAGACGGAAAGACCCCGUGAACCUUUACUAUAGCUUGACACUGAACAUUGAGCCUUGAUGUGUAGGAUAGGUGGGAGGCUUUGAAGUGUGGACGCCAGUCUGCAUGGAGCCGACCUUGAAAUACCACCCUUUAAUGUUUGAUGUUCUAACGUUGACCCGUGAUCCGGGUUGCGGACAGUGUCUGGUGGGUAGUUUGACUGGGGCGGUCUCCUCCUAAAGAGUAACGGAGGAGCACGAAGGUUGGCUAAUCCUGGUCGGACAUCAGGAGGUUAGUGCAAUGGCAUAAGCCAGCUUGACUGCGAGCGUGACGGCGCGAGCAGGUGCGAAAGCAGGUCAUAGUGAUCCGGUGGUUCUGAAUGGAAGGGCCAUCGCUCAACGGAUAAAAGGUACUCCGGGGAUAACAGGCUGAUACCGCCCAAGAGUUCAUAUCGACGGCGGUGUUUGGCACCUCGAUGUCGGCUCAUCACAUCCUGGGGCUGAAGUAGGUCCCAAGGGUAUGGCUGUUCGCCAUUUAAAGUGGUACGCGAGCUGGGUUUAGAACGUCGUGAGACAGUUCGGUCCCUAUCUGCCGUGGGCGCUGGAGAACUGAGGGGGGCUGCUCCUAGUACGAGAGGACCGGAGUGGACGCAUCACUGGUGUUCGGGUUGUCAUGCCAAUGGCACUGCCCGGUAGCUAAAUGCGGAAGAGAUAAGUGCUGAAAGCAUCUAAGCACGAAACUUGCCCCGAGAUGAGUUCUCCCUGACCCUUUAAGGGUCCUGAAGGAACGUUGAAGACGACGACGUUGAUAGGCCGGGUGUGUAAGCGCAGCGAUGCGUUGAGCUAACCGGUACUAAUGAACCGUGAGGCUUAACCUUACAACGCCGAAG
rnacentral:rRNA from 1 species